UGAGGGAGAGUUUUGCUCUUGUUGCCCAGGCUGGAGCGCAAUGGCGUGAUCUCGGCUCAUUGCAACCUCUGCCUCCUGGGUUAAAGGGAUUCUCGUGCCUCAGCCUCCCAAGUAGCUGGAAUUACAGGUGCCCACCACCAUGCCCAGCUAAUUUUUUAUUUUUAGUAGAGACGGGGUUUCACCAUGUUGGCCAGGCUGGUCUUGAACUCCUGACCUUAGGUGAUCCACCCACCUCAGCCUCCCAAAGUGCUGGGAUAUCAGGUGUAAAGCUACCUCGCCUUCUAUUUUUUAAUGUUUCAAUACAUUGGUUCCCACACAUUCUUUAUAGGCUCCCUUCAAUAUGCAUGUGUCAGCUUCAGUUUCAGGCAUUCCAUAGGCCAACAAUUAGCCUUAUUGACAUUUUAUUUAUUAUUCUUGGUACCUUUAGCACAGAACCUGGGACACAGCAGGCAUACAAUAAAAACUUGGAUUUAAUCAACUUCUAUUUUUUCUCUUUAGGUCUCCAUAACUAUUAACUUCUCUGUCCUUCUAAUCUGUAUUCCCUGAGAAAUUAAUUGGGCUGGCAAGUCAAAGCCCUGAACCCCAGCUGCAGCUUUCUGAGCUUGAUCUGUCCAUCUGUGAAGUAAGGCAAUGAGAAGUGAGUCGGGGAACGGAACCCACGAUGCGUCAGAGGAGUGUUCCAGUUGCACACACACUCCCCAGCCACCUGGCAGCUCAGUCUAUAAUCUGGAGGCUUCCACAUCUACAGCUCCAUACAAAUGAACCUCUGGUUCUAAAGAAGUUUUUUCCUUGUCUGGUUCUCACUUUCUAAACCUCAGUCUCUGGAGAGAAAAGAAGGAGUCCUGGAGGAUGAACAAGGCGAGCUUGGAGUAAUUCGGAAAAGCUAAUGUUGUAGGACAGAAGCAAAGCCUGCAAGUCACAGCCUAGGUUCCCUGAGUGAUGUUUUCAGCAGUAAACUGCAACUUCAAAGCUAAGAGCCAUCCUAAUAAUUUGCCAUAAAAGGUAGCUUGUUAAAAAUGAGUCAAAAAGGCCGGGUGCAGUGAGUCACGCCUGUAAUCCCAGCGCUUUGGGAAGCUGAGGCGGGCGGAUCACAAGGUCAGGAGGUCGAGACCAUCCUGG
rnacentral:lncRNA from 1 species